rnacentral:rRNA from 1 species
GUCUACGGCCAUGCCACCCUGAAUACGCCUAAUCUCAGCUGAUCUCGGAAGCUAAGCAGGGUCGGGCCUGGUUAGUACUUGGAUGGGAGACCACCUAGGAAGACCAGGUGCUGUAGACG